CGGACGGGUGAGUAAUACAUAGGAAUCUACCCAGUAGUGGGGGAUAACUUGGAGAAAUCCAUGCUAAUACCGCAUAUGUCCUACGGGGCAAAGCAGGGGACCCUCGGGCCUUGCGCUAUUGGAUGAGCCUAUGUCGGAUUAGCUAGUUGGUGGGGUAAAGGCCUACCAAGGCGACGAUCCGUAGCUGGUCUGAGAGGAUGAUCAGCCACACUGGGACUGAGACACGGCCCAG
rnacentral:rRNA from 1 species